rnacentral:rRNA from 1 species
GAUGAACGCUAGCGGCAGGCUUAAUACAUGCAAGUCGAGGGGCAGCACGAAUAGCAAUAUUUGGUGGCGACCGGCGCACGGGUGCGUAACACGUAUAUAACCUACCUAUAACAGGGGGCUAGCCUUUCGACAGAGAGAUUAAUACCCCGUAAUAAAUUGAGGGGCAUCAUUUGAAUAUUAAAGAUUAAUCGGUCGUGGAAGGGCAUGCGUCCCAUUAGCUAGUUGGCGAGGUAACGGCUCACCAAGGCGACGAUGGGUAGGGGAUCGGAGAGGAUUAGCCCCCACAAUGGUACUGAGACACGGACCAGACUCCUACGGGAGGCAGCAGUAAGGAAUAUUGGACAAUGGUGGCAACACUGGUCCAGCCAUGGCGCGUGCAGGAUGACGGCCCUAUGGGUUGUAAACUGCUUUUAUUCGGGAAUAAACCUCUGUACGUGUACGGAGCUGAAGGUACCGAAUGAAUAAGCACCGGCUAACUACGUGCCAGCCGCCGCAGUAAUAC